UACGUAGGGGGCAAGCGUUGUCCGGAAUCAUUGGGCGUAAAGAGCGUGUAGGCGGCCUGAUAAGUCGGUUGUGAAAGUCAAGGGCUCAACCCUUGAAUGCCGGCCGAUACUGUCAGGCUAGAGUCCGGAAGAGGCGAGUGGAAUUCCUGGUGUAGCGGUGAAAUGCGCAGAUAUCAGGAAGAACACCCGUGGCGAAGGCGGCUCUCUGGGACGGUACUGACGCUGAGACGCGAAAGCGUGGGGAGCGAACAGG
rnacentral:rRNA from 1 species